GAGUUUGAUCCUGGCUCAGGACGAACGCUGGCGGCGUGCUUAACACAUGCAAGUGGAGCGACGAACCAGGCUUCGGCCUGGGGCAGAGCCGCGAACGGGUGAGUAACACGUGGGUAACGUGCCCCAAUGAUCGGGACAACCCGGGGAAACCCGGGCUAAUACCGAAUGUGCUCCCCCCACAUCAGUGAGGGGUGAAAAGGAAGCUUCGGCCUCCGCAUUGGGAUCGGCCCGCGGCCCAUUAGCUUGUUGGUGAGGUAACGGCUCACCAAGGCUUCGAUGGGUAGCUGGUCUGAGAGGACGAUCAGCCACACUGGGACUGAGACACGGCCCAGACUCCUACGGGAGGCAGCAGUGGGGAAUCUUGCGCAAUGCGCGAAAGCGUGACGCAGCAACGCCGCGUGGGGGAAGACGGCCUUCGGGUUGUAAACCCCUUUCAGGAGGGACGAAGCCAGGGCGGUUAAUAGCCGACUCGGGUGACGGUACCUCCAGAAGAAGCCCCGGCUAACUACGUGCCAGCAGCCGCGGUAAUACGUAGGGGGCAAGCGUUGUCCGGAAUCAUUGGGCGUAAAGAGCGUGUAGGCGGUCCGGUAAGUCGGCUGUGAAAGUCCAGGGCUCAACCCUGGGAUGCCGGUCGAUACUGCCGGACUAGAGUUCGGAAGAGGCGAGUGGAAUUCCCGGUGUAGCGGUGAAAUGCGCAGAUAUCGGGAGGAACACCUAUGGCGAAGGCAGCUCGCUGGGACGUUACUGACGCUGAGACGCGAAAGCGUGGGGAGCAAACAGGCAAGAUAUCCCAGUAGUGCACGCUUGUAAAUAUGGGCACUAGGUGUGAUAGGUGUAGACUCCUCCCGUGCCGGAGCUAACGCAUUAAGUUCCGAGCUUGGGGAGUACGGUAUCAAGCCUCAUACUCAAAGGAAUCCCGGGGACCCGCACAAGCAGCGGAGCAUGUGGUUUAAUUCGACGCAACGCGAAGAACCUUACCUGGGUUUGACAUGUUCCUGACCGCCGUGGAAACACGGUUUCCCCUUGUGGGCAGGAUCACAGAUGGUGCAUGGCUGUCGUCAGCUCGUGUCGUGAGAUGUUUCGUAAGUCCUGAAACGAGCGCCAACCCGAAGGCAUUUUUCCAGCACUUAGUUGGGGUGUCUCGCGAGUUCGCCCGUGACACACCGGAGGAAGGUGGGGAUGACGUCAAGUCUUCAUGCCCCUUAUGCCCUGGGCUACACACGUGCUACAAUGGGCGGUACAAAGGGUUGCCAAGCCGCGAGGCGGAGCCAAUCCCAGAAAGCCGUUCACAGUUCGGAUUGCAGGCUGCAACUCGCCUGCAUGAAGCCGGAAUUGCUAGUAAUCGCGGAUCAGCAUGCCGCGGUGAAUUCGUUCCCGGGCCUUGUACACACCGCCCGUCACACCAUGGGAGUUGGCAACACCCGAAGUCGGUGAGGUAACUCGCAAGAGAGCCAGCCGCCUAAGGUGGGGUCGAUGACUGGGGUGAAGUCGUAACAAGGUAGCCGUAUCGGAAGGUGCGGCUGGAUCACCUCCUUUCU
rnacentral:rRNA from 1 species